rnacentral:rRNA from 1 species
AGUGAACGCUGGCGGUAGGCCUAACACAUGCAAGUCGAACGGCAGCACAGUAAGAGCUUGCUCUUACGGGUGGCGAGUGGCGGACGGGUGAGGAAUACAUCGGAAUCUACUUUUUCGUGGGGGAUAACGUAGGGAAACUUACGCUAAUACCGCAUACGACCUACGGGUGAAAGCAGGGGAUCUUCGGACCUUGCGCGAUUGAAUGAGCCGAUGUCGGAUUAGCUAGUUGGCGGGGUAAAGGCCCACCAAGGCGACGAUCCGUAGCUGGUCUGAGAGGAUGAUCAGCCACACUGGAACUGAGACACGGUCCAGACUCCUACGGGAGGCAGCAGUGGGGAAUAUUGGACAAUGGGCGCAAGCCUGAUCCAGCCAUACCGCGUGGGUGAAGGAGGCCUUCAGGUUGUAAAGCCCUUUUGUUGGGAAAGAAAAGCAGCAGGUUAAUACCCCGCUGUUCUGACGGUACCCAAAGAAUAAGCACCGGCUAACUUCGUG